CUGCCAUUCACCAGCAUAAAACCAUCCACUUCAGUCACGCCCCGCCGCCACAGUCCUUAUCCUACUCAGCAAGACACAGCCCUUCAGCCACCAUGCGCUGGCCAUUCCUGAUGUUUACCCUCGCCAUCGCGCUGCUGGCCUUCACAAUAGACACAGCAGCAUCUUGGAAUUUCAGUCCAUUCAAGUAUUUUGGUCAUAAAGUAUCCGUGACUGACAACGUUCCCUGCUUGGGGCGCUGCAAGAGAAGGGACAGCAGAGGAAGAUGCCGCACGGAUUCCCUCUGCAUGCGUAGGCUCCGUUGGAUCUAAACCACAUGGCGGCUCCUAACGCCGUAUAAUUUGCGUUAGGCUGCUCUUAAAGCUUUGAAUGUAGUCUUUUUAUUCCUUUUACUUUAUUUUGGUACCAAACCAUGAAGAAGAAUUAUAACAGUUUUCACUGCUUGCCAACACGUCGACUAUAUACAUGAUGCACCAAGAACAAGAGGGUAACGAAGGCAAUUUACAUGUAUUCAUAAUGCUGACCCGUCGACAACACUAGCGACUACCUUGGCUUGUUUUCUCUCUCUCUCUCUCUCUCUCUCUCUCUCUCUCUCUCACACACACACACACACAAGAAUAUAGGAUGCAUGAAAUAUUAUAUGGUCAUAUGUAUAUUUGCAAAUCUUGCAGAUCUUAUUUGUAAGGAAAAUAAACAUGGUUAUGUUCAUUUAUAAGUCGCGAAUAUUGAUGCAAUAUUAUCCAUUGUAAUUCAUAGUAGUGAUUAUAUUAUCACUCAUUAAAGGUUUUCACAUAA